rnacentral:rRNA from 1 species
GACGAACGCCGUCGGCGGGCUUAACACAUGCAAGUCGAACGGAAAGGCCCUGCUUUUGUGGGGUGCUCGAGUGGCGAACGGGUGAUUAACACGUGAGUAACCUGCCCUUGACUUUGGGAUAACUUCAGGAAACUGGGGCUAAUACCGGAUAGGAGCUCCUGCUGCAUGGUGGGGGUUGGAAAGUUUCGGCGGUUGGGGAUGGACUCGCGGCUUAUCAGCUUGUUGGUGGGGUAGUGGCUUACCAAGGCUUUGACGGGUAGCCGGCCUGAGAGGGUGACCGGCCACAUUGGGACUGAGAUACGGCCCAGACUCCUACGGGAGGCAGCAGUGGGGAAUAUUGCACAAUGGGCGGAAGCCUGAUGCAGCAACGCCGCGUGCGGGAUGACGGCCUUCGGGUUGUAAACCGCUUUCGCCUGUGACGAAGCGUGAGUGACGGUAAUGGGUAAAGAAGCACCGGCUAACUACGUGCCAGCAGCCGCGGUGAUACGUAGGGUGCGAGCGUUGUCCGGAUUUAUUGGGCGUAAAGGGCUCGUAGGUGGUUGAUCGCGUCGGAAGUGUAAUCUUGGGGCUUAACCCUGAGCGUGCUUUCGAUACGGGUUGACUUGAGGAAGGUAGGGGAGAAUGGAAUUCCUGGUGGAGCGGUGGAAUGCGCAGAUAUCAGGAGGAACACCAGUGGCGAAGGCGGUUCUCUGGGCCUUUCCUGACGCUGAGGAGCGAAAGCGUGGGGAGCGAACAGGCUUAGAUACCCUGGUAGUCCACGCUGUAAACGGUGGGUACUAGGUGUGGGGUCCAUUCCACGGGUUCCGUGCCGUAGCUAACGCUUUAAGUACCCCGCCUGGGGAGUACGGCCGCAAGGCUAAAACUCAAAGGAAUUGACGGGGCCCCGCACAAGCGGCGGAGCAUGCGGAUUAAUUCGAUGCAACGCGUAGAACCUUACCUGGGUUUGACAUGGAUCGGGAGUGCUCAGAGAUGGGUGUGCCUCUUUUGGGGUCGGUUCACAGGUGGUGCAUGGCUGUCGUCAGCUCGUGUCGUGAGAUGUUGGGUUAAGUCCCGCAACGAGCGCAACCCUUGUUCACUGUUGCCAGCACGUUAUGGUGGGGACUCAGUGGAGACCGCCGGGGUCAACUCGGAGGAAGGUGGGGAUGACGUCAAGUCAUCAUGCCCCUUAUGUCCAGGGCUUCACGCAUGCUACAAUGGCUGGUACAGAGAGUGGCGAGCCUGUGAGGGUGAGCGAAUCUCGGAAAGCCGGUCUCAGUUCGGAUUGGGGUCUGCAGCUCGACCUCAUGAAGUCGGAGUCGCUAGUAAUCGCAGAUCAGCAACGCUGCGGUGAAUACGUUCCCGGGGCU